UAUCCUCUCGAUCUUUCGUCUCUCUCUCCCGGUGACAGAAGUUAUCCUUUCACUCUCGUAUGGCUCGCAAGGACUGUCCGGCGGUCGGUGGGCUAGCCAGCGGAGGUUGCGAAGCUCAGAGGACAGUCGCCGGCGGGCAAGGCGCGGUGGCGGCCGGCUGGCUGCCAUGCGAGCGACGGACCGACACAUUGGAGCUGCACAAGUACUGCGGCGUCCACGGCCGGCGGUGCAGUGGCUGCAAGUUUGGGCCUCCGGCAUCCGAGCGCCGCGCCGGGCUCAGCAUGGGCGGGCGGCUUGUGCGGCGGCGAAGCUUGGGCCUCCGGUGAAGGACGACGGGCAGAGGUAUGCGCGCCAAAAAAAUCUCCCGUCCACAAGAUCUGGAGACGCCGUCCAUGGGUCGAAGCGAACCGUACAACGGGGAAGCAGCCGGCGCCCGGCGGUAUGGCCUUGGGCAACGAGCCCACGCCAUCGCCUCACGAGGCGACGAGGGUGCCGUCGUCGCGCUCCGUCAGGGUGCUUUGUGCAAAACUUACCUCUUACAGACGGCUCGCAACACCGCGUUGUACGUGCCCUGAGGGUUAUCGUCAGCUACUUGAGACCAAUAAUAAUGGUGCAAGGAGGAGCUCCUCAACUAAUCUUACCAACGCACAUUCAAAUGCCAAUGUGGCCAACGCUGUACCGCUCGAUGGGAGGAAAGUCAUCCUGAAGUUUUGCAUCCGGUAUUUAGGCUGUGAUCACGGCAAAAGCUGCUACUGCUGCCAGCAGGCCCAAGAAAAUUGUUACGAUACUUUGGAAGAGUGCCAUGACAACUGCCCCGCCUGCGACCCGACUUGCCCCCCGUUGCAGUCAUCGCCUGGAUCAACGGUGAAAGACCUGGCGAUCAAUGCAACUAGCUAGGUGGAUUCAUCCUGCUUGUUGCUGAGGGAGGAACGCGGAACACGAGCUUGAUGGUCCGUAAUGUUGGAAUUUACGUGCUUGGUCCAUUUUAUUCAUUUACAAUAAAAAACUUAAAGCUCACUAAUAAAUGCUGGGGAGUUAUGUGUUUAAUUCCUAUUGGUUAAGGAUCUCAACCAACUUAAAUAGUAAUCGUGUGUA